CUGUUGUGUUGUUGUUGUUUUAUUGUUUUGUGGUUUGGUGGUUUUUUCACCCCUUUCUUUUUUUCUUCCCCUCGGAGAGCACACAGCUCAGUAUUUCAGGCGCCUUUUUUUUGCCUUCAAGAAAUUCCUAUGAAACUAUCAGAGGAUUCGAAGGUCUGAGAGAUGCUUCUGUAUUUUUGAGUCCUAAUCACUCAGGUGAAAAAAGAAUAAGUAAAUUAUAUAUUGAACCACUAACUGGUGCUGAGGCCUGGUGGUUUCCAUGGCAACCGGGCUGGAAAUAGCAGCCUGCGACGUCACCAGCACGGCACAGGUAGAGUCGGAUCCCGCCGCCGUUUUCCCCCGAAGAAGUGAGGGUGGCAGCUGCAAACACCUUGGCAUUGCAAUUACCGUAUGCAAAUACCGCAGCCACCCUGGGGUACCUGCCCAUCGCCGGGGCACACCGAGUUCACCGCGCACUCAGCAGAAAUGUCUGGACCCCCUUGCAGGUGCUGAGGGAGGCCGGACCCCCCGCCCCACACCUGCCCUCGUUGAGGGGCAGAGCCGCAGGGUGAGGCCUUUCUGCCCACGCCAGCUGCCCCUUGGCUGGGUUGGGGGGCUCAGGUCUUUUCUUCGGUGCCCAGUGAUGCCCCAGUUGCCCGAGUUGCUCCACUAAUUCAUCUUACAGCUGCAAUAUUGCACAUCAGAGGGGAGAGAUUUCUAAAGAGCUCGUCUUGGACACCAUUUCUUCUUUCUGGCGAUGGAUAAAACAUCUGGAGGGCUUUCGAGCUGCAGCUCUGCUGCUGAACAGCAUGCAGUCCUUUCGGGAGCAAAGUAGUUACCACGGAAACCAGCAGAGCUACCCACAGGACGUGCAGGGUUCCUCCCGACUGGAAGAGUUCAGCCCCCGCCAGCAGGCCCAGAUGUUCCAGAGCUUUGGAGGAGGUGCUGGCAGUGGUCGUCGUGGAGCAGCAGGAGCCUCUACAGCAAUGCCUGGUGAGAGCUCUGGCCAUCAGAGCUACCAAGGUUUCAGAAAAGAAGCAGGAGAGUUUUACUAUAUGGCUGCCAACAAAGAUCCAGUGGCAUCAGGAGGGCAGCAGCCACCUCAGCGCAGGCCUUCUGGACCAGUGCAGAGCUAUGGGCCCCCUCAAGGGAGUAGCUUUGGGAGUCAGUAUGGGAGUGAGGGACAUGUGGGCCAGUUUCAAACACAGCAUUCGACCCUUGGGGGUGUAUCCCACUAUCAACAGGAUUAUACUGGUCCUUUUUCUCCAGGGAGUGCCCAGUAUCAGCAGCAGGCUUCUAGCCAGCAGCAGCAGGUGCAGCAGUUGAGACAGCAGAUCUAUCAGUCUCACCAGCCUUUACCCCAAGCUUCCAGCCAGUCUGCUUCUAGCACCUCACACUUGCAGCCAAUGCAGCGUCCAUCCACCCUACCUUCCUCUGCUUCUGGGUACCAGUUACGAGUGGGUCAGUUCAGCCAACACUAUCAGCCACCUUCGUCCUCCUCCUCCUCCUCUUUCCCCUCCCCACAGCGUUUUGGCCAGUCAGGACAGAAUUAUGAUGGAAGCUACAGUGUGAAUUCUGGGUCGCAGUAUGAAGGCCACGCUGUGGGUUCCAAUGCACAGGCAUAUGGGACCCAGUCAAACUACAGCUUUCAGACUCAACCGAUGAAAAGCUUUGAGCAGUCUAAGCUGCCCCAAAGCGGGCAGCAGGGGCAGCAGCAACAGCACCCACCUCAGCACGUAAUGCAGUAUUCAAAUACUGCCACCAAGCUCUCUCUUCAAAGUCAAGUGGGACAGUACAGUCAGACUGAAGUUCCUGUAAGAUCACCAAUGCAGUUCCACCAAAACUUCAGUCCAAUCUCUAAUCCAUCUCCUGCUGCAUCUGUGGUUCAGUCUCCAAGCUGCAGCUCUACCCCUUCUCCACUCAUGCCAGGUGGAGAGAAUCUCCAGUGUGGGCAAGGCAACAUGUCCAUGGGUUCUAGAAACCGAAUCCUGCAGAUGAUGCCUCAGCUUAGUCCUACACCAUCUAUGAUGCCAAGUCCCAAUGCUCAUGCAGGAGGAUUCAAGGGAUUUGGGCUGGAAGGACUGCAGGAAAAAAGGCUCACAGAUCCAGGGCUGAGCAGCCUGAGUGCUCUAAGUUCUCAAGUUGCCAACUUGCCCAACACAGUCCAGCACAUGUUGCUCUCAGAUGCCUUGGCACCUCAGAAAAAAAGUUCCAAGAGGUCAUCAUCUUCAAAGAAGGCUGACAGCUGCACCAACUCUGAAGGCUCCUCACAAGCAGAGGAGCAACUUAAGUCUCCCAUGGCAGAGUCCCUUGAUGGUGGCUGUUCCAGUAGUUCAGAGGAUCAUGGGGAAAGGGUGAGACAGCUGAGUGGCCAGAGCACCAGCUCAGACACCACUUACAAAGGGGGUAACUUAGAGAGGUCCAACUCCUCACCAGCGCAAGGCUCUCAGAAUGAGCCAUCAAAACUGAGCAGCAGCCCUGCAGCUAGGGAGGAUGUGGCCUCCCCUGAUGGGAAGGAAGCUGUGGUGGCUGUGGAAAAUGCCCCAAAAGUGAAUGAAAAGGCAGUUGGGGUGAUUGUCUCCCGGGAAGCCAUGACAGGAAGAGUAGAAAAGUCAGGUGGGCAAGAUAAACCUGCGCAAGACGAUGCUACUGCAGCCACUCAGGCACCAGCUAGUGCUAGUGGAGCAAAAGAAGCUGGGCAUGCAGGGACACAGCCAGAGACUCAAGGAGGAAGUAAAGGGAGCAAAAGUGGAGAUAACACUAACCAUAAUGGAGAAGGGAACAGCCAGCCUGGUCAUGCAGUUGUUGGGCCAAAUUUUCCUACAAGGACAGAACCUUCAAAAUCUCCUGGCAGUUUAAGAUACAGUUACAAGGAUAAUAUAGCAGCUGGUAUACAGAGAAGUAUUGGUGGCUUUCCACAGUAUCCUUCUGGUCAAGAAAAAGGGGAUUUUCCAGGGCAUAGUGAGCGCAAAGGUCGGAAUGAGAAGUUUCCCAGCCUCCUACAGGAGGUUUUACAGGGGUACCACCAUCAUCCAGACAGAAGGUAUUCUAGGAACGCACAGGAGCAUUCUGGGAUGGCUGGGAGUUUGGAGGGAGCCAUGAGGCCCAAUAUCUUAAUUAGUCAAACCAAUGAAUUGACCAAUAGAGGCCUCUUAAAUAAAAGCAUGGGGUCUCUCCUGGAAGGCCCUCACUGGGGUCCCUGGGAUAGGAAGUCCAGCAGUGCAGCUCCUGACAUGAAGCAGAUAAAUCUAGCUGAUUAUCCUAUUGCUAGAAAGUUCGAUGUGGAGUCUCAGUCUUCUGCCCAUGAAGGGGGGGCGCUCUCAGAGAGGAGAUCAGUGAUCUGUGACAUAUCUCCAUUAAGGCAACUUGUCAGAGAUCCUGGCCCUCACCCAAUGGGGCACAUGGGUCCUGAGGCCAGAGGUGGAAGGAGUGAACGUCUUGCCCCUGGCUUGAGCCAGUCAGUAAUACUCCCUGGUGGUUUAGUAUCCAUGGAAACAAAGAUGAAAGCUCACAGUGGGCAAAUAAAAGAAGAAGACUUUGAACAGUCAAAGAGCUCAGCUAGUCUCAAUAAUAAAAAAACAGGAGACCAUUGUCAUCCUGCUGGCAUCAAGCACGAGUCUUUCCGAGGCAACGCCAGCCCUGGAGCUGCAGUCUCGGACGCUGCUCCAGACUACAUUCCCCAGCAGGACAGCAGAUCGACACCAAUGAGACGAGCACCUGGCAGAACUGGAAGCAGCAGGGGUAAAUCACCUUCUCAAUUUCAGGAUCUUGCUGAUAAACUAAAAAUGUCACCAGGCAGGAGCAGAGGCCCAGGAGCAGAUCUGCAUCACAUGAACCCACACAUGACACUAUCUGAAAGAGUUAAUAGGAGUUCCUUGCAUUCUGCUUACCCUCAGAAUUCAGAAGGCCCAUCCUUGGCUUCAGCAUAUCACACAAAUGCUAGGCCUCAUGCUUUUGGCGACCCUAACCAGAGUUUAAAUUCCCAGUACCAUUACAAGAGACAGAUAUACCAGCAACAGCAAGAAGAAUACAAAGAUUGGGCAAGCAGCACUGCUCAGGGUGUGAUUGCUGCAGCUCAGCACAGGCAGGAAGGAGCAAGGAAGAGCCCAAGACAACAACAGUUUCUGGAAAGAGUAAGAAGUCCCUUAAAAAAUGACAAGGAUGGAAUUAUGUACCUUCAAGGUAGCUCUUACCACGACACUGGAAGUCAGGAAGCUGGACGCUGUGUUAUGGGGGGUGACAGUACCCAGAGCAAAUGCACCGAGCUGAAACACGGCAACCAGAAGUUGCAGCAUCACGAAUCUGGUUGGGACCUCUCUCGGCAAACUUCUCCUGCCAAAAGCAGUGGCCCUCUUGGAGCAGCCAACCAAAAACGAUUUUGCCCUCAAGAAGGUGAUGGACAUCGACGAGAGGAAUCUACAGAUUUGCCCAAGCCUAGUAAUGCCAUGCUCAGGCUCCCUGGCCAGGAAGACCAGUCUCCUCAAAACCCAUUAAUUAUGAGGAGGAGAGUCCGUUCUUUCAUCUCGCCUAUCCCUACCAAAAGACAGCCACAGGAUAUGAAGAAUAGUGGCAGUGAAGAUAAAGGGCGACUGAUGACUUCAGUGAAAGAGGGAGCUGAAAAAACAUACAACUCCUAUGCCCAUUCAUCUCAAAGCCAGGAUGUUGGCAAGUCAGUUGCAAAGGGAGAUUCCUUCAAGGACCUGCCAAGUCCUGAUAAUAGGAAUUGUCCUGCUGUUUCCCUCACAAGCCCGGCUAAGACCAAAAUAUUGCCCCCAAGAAAGGGGCGAGGAUUAAAACUGGAAGCUAUUGUUCAAAAAAUUACAUCUCCCAAUAUUAGGAGAAGUGUUCCUACCAACAGUGCUGAAACUGGUGCAGAUACUGUUACUCUUGAUGACAUCCUGUCCCUUAAGAGUGGGCCUGAAGGAGGAAAUGUGGCUGGACAUGGACCAGAGGCUGAGAAAAGAAAAGGAGAGCUCUCAGAUCAGGUGGGGCCAGCAAGCCAGGAUACAACUGGUGAAAUAACUCUUCCAAGAUCUUCAGAAGAGUGGCAAAACAGUGAGGAUGAUAAAACCAAGAAAGAGGUCCCUGAAGCUGCCAGUGUUGGUAAAGAAGGAGCAGGGUCCAGUGCAGCACCACCACCUUCUCAGAAGUCAAGUGGUCAGGGAAGGCCUGAUGGAUCUGUAAGUGGAGCUGGCACUCUCACCUUUUCCGACUCAAAAACAAUUUCCCCUUCCAGUGUGUUUACUUCUGAACCAAAUCCGAAGUCUGAGGAAAAAGAUGGAGAUAUGACAAAUAUUUCACCCAAGCCAGAUGGUUUCCCUCCAAAGGGAUAUUUUCCCUCUGGAAAGAAAAAGGGGAGGCCAAUUGGGAGUGUGAACAAGCAGAAGAAGCAGCAGCAGCAACAGCAGCAGCAGCAACAGCAGCAACUGCCACUGCCCCCACCACCCCCACCAGUACCUUCACAGGCCUCAGAAGGGGUAGGUGGUGGUGAGCCAAAACCUAAGAGACAAAGGAGGGAGAGGCGAAAACCGGCAGCACAGCCACGGAAGCGGAAGCCCAGACGGGCUGCUCCAAUUGUGGAGCCUCAAGAACCAGAGAUCAAGCUUAAAUAUGCUACCCAGUCUGUAGAUAAAACUGACUCCAAGAAUAAGUCCUUUUUCCCUUAUAUUCAUGUGGUAAACAAGUGUGAAUUAGGCGCUGUGUGCACAAUCAUUAACGCGGAGGAAGAGGAGCAGAACAAAUUGGUGAGGGGUCGGAAAGGACAGAGGUCUUCGACACCCCCUCCUAGCAAUGCGGAGAGCAAAGUGCUGCCAACCUCAACUUUCAUGCUGCAGGGCCCUGUAGUAACAGAGUCUUCUGUCUUGGGGCAUCUGGUUUGCUGCCUGUGUGGCAAAUGGGCAAGCUAUCGUAACAUGGGUGACCUCUUUGGUCCUUUCUACCCCCAGGAUUACGCAGCCACUUUGCCCAAGAACCCACCUCCAAAGAGGGCCACAGAAAUGCAGAGCAAAGUCAAGGUACGGCACAAAAGUGCUUCUAAUGGUUCCAAGACAGAUACAGAAGAGGAGGAGGAACAGCAACAACAGAAGGAACAAAGAAGCCUCGCUGCUCAUCCCCGCUUUAAGAGGCGGCACCGCUCUGAGGACUGUAGUGGAGCCUCUCGGUCACUUUCAAGGGGAGCUUCGUGUAAAAAAGCAACCACUGAGGGUGGCAGUGGUGGUGAAAAGACUCCUUUGGACUCAAAACCCUCUAUGCCCACUUCAGAAGGUGGCACUGAGCUGGAGUUACAAAUUCCUGAACUACCUCUUGACAGCAAUGAAUUUUGGGUCCAUGAGGGUUGUAUUCUCUGGGCCAAUGGGAUCUACCUGGUCUGUGGCAGGCUCUAUGGGCUGCAGGAAGCUGUGGAGAUUGCAAGAGAGAUGAAAUGUUCCCAUUGCCAGGAACCGGGAGCCACCUUAGGCUGCUACAACAAAGGCUGCUCCUUCCGAUACCAUUACCCAUGUGCCAUCGAUGCAGAUUGUUUACUAAACGAAGAGAAUUUCUCAGUGAGGUGCCCCAAGCACAAGGGCACAUUUGGAUCACCCUGCUCCUUCCACUGGAGUGGCUGGGAAGGGGAGUUCCAGCCAGCUGCGAAGCAGGAGCAAGAGGGUUGAAAACCAUCGCUCUGGAGUGACCGGAGAACAAAUUGCAUCAGUUUUUUGCAUGACAUGAACAUGAGCAAUUGAGAAGAAGAAAGACUUUAGAUUAGACCAUUUAAAACUAUGCUUUUAGGUUAGGCUGUUGAGAUAAAAAGCGGUGGACAUUCGUGACUGAAUGGAAUCUCUCCCACUGUGCAGCCAUGCCCCCUCUCGACGUGCCUGCCAAUGCCAGCACUUCAUAAAUUCUUACAUCACACUCAAGACUGAUGACAUCACAGAACCUGACCAAGGAGUCUGAACCAGCUGUUUCCAUGGACACAAUCUCCAUAGUGACAGUGGGAAGGGGAGGGGGAAAAAGGAAACAGGUGGGGGGAAUUAAAGAGGGAGGGAUAAAUAUAUAUAUAUAUAAAGAUCUAUUUUUUAGUCUUGAAAGACUUUGUUUUAAAUGAAAGGUGCGCUAUAUCCCUUUUGAUGCUUUUGAUUAAAAUUAACAAAAACCCAUACAAAUUAAAAAAGAAAACUGUAGCUAAAGGAAAUAUUAAAUCCAAGAUCAAAGCAAGGCUCGUGGAGCCUAACACUUUGUGGGAAAGAACAGCAGAACUGGGAGCGCUGCAGACAGGGCUUGUGUCCCCUCCUCUUGCUUUCUUUCUCACAACGUCCAAGGAACUUCAGUUUUAAAAGGCAAACAAAGUAAUGAUAAAUUGUUUUUAGGGUGUGGGAGGAAGGCUUGGAUGGUUGCAGGUAACAGGGUGUAAUUUUUGAGGAACACUGUAGAAUCAAUAGUGGAAGCUUGAAAAACAUCUGAAGACUCUUAGGUCAUGAGAGUCAUGAAGUAAGAGGUAGCUGCUGCUUACUAGAUCCCAUCUACCUUGUUCGAGUGGGAAUGUCUGUACCACACGACGGAAGAGGGAAUAUCUGCCUUUUGUGGCAACAGCAUGCACCCCCACAUCAUUCCGAGAAGCUGCCUUCAGUUUUGAGGGCAGGUGAGAGGAAGAUGUGGUUUGCCUGCCAGAUUGCGGAAUUGGAAAGGAAGUCUGAAUGUUGGUGGAGUCAAGGUACCUUCAAACUGAUCAGGAAAAUCCACUUAGCCCUUUUUUUUAUGUUUUGCUUUUCCUAAGGCAGGAAGAGGGAAUGUCAGUGGAACAGCCUACACUAUAUGGUUAUUUGGGGUGUUUUGUUUUUUGUUUUGUAAAUGAUGUAAUUUUAAAACAUUUGGGUUUAAGGAACAACAGCAACCUUUUUUUUUUCUUGUUAAGGCCUUAAGAAAGGGGUUAGUGCAUCUUUCAGGGGUCACUCUGCCAUGGGAAUAAAAUAGCUGUUUCACAAACAGUUUUAUAUAAAAAAAGCUUAAAAAAACCAAAAAAACUAAUAAACUUCAUUUUAACCUUG